CGAGUGACCCCGGUCUAACCACCGGGAUGUUCAUACCCUUUGUUGUCCGACUCUGUUGCCUCCGGGGCGACCCUGCCUUCGGGCGGGGGCUCCGGGUGGACACUUCAAACUCUUGCGUAACUUUGCAGUCUGAGUAAACUUAAUUAAUAAAUUA
rnacentral:misc_RNA from 1 species